rnacentral:rRNA from 1 species
GAUGAACGCUGGCGGCGUGCCUAAUACAUGCAAGUCGAGCGAACAGACGAGGAGCUUGCUCCUCUGACGUUAGCGGCGGACGGGUGAGUAACACAUGGAUAACCUCCCUAUAAGACUGGGAUAACUUCGGGAAACCGGAGCUAAUACCGGAUAAUAUAUUGAACCGCAGGGUUCAAGAGUGAAAGACGGUUUUGCUGUCACUUAUAGAUGGAUCCGCGCCGCAUUAGCUAGUUGGUAAGGUAACGGCUUACCAAGGCGACGAUGCGUAGCCGACCUGAGAGGGUGAUCAGCCACACUGGAACUGAGACACGGUCCAGACUCCUACGGGAGGCAGCAGUGGGGAAUCUUCCGCAAUGGGCGAAAGCCUGACGGAGCAACGCCGCGUGAGUGAUGAAGGUCUUCGGAUCGUAAAACUCUGUUAUUCGGGAAGAACAAAUGUGUAAUUAACUAUGCACGUCUUGACGGUACCUAAUCAGAAAGCCACGGCUAACUACGUG